rnacentral:rRNA from 1 species
UACGUAGGGUGCAAGCGUUGUCCGGAAUUAUUGGGCGUAAAGAGCUCGUAGGCGGUUUGUUGCGUCGGCUGUGAAAUCCCGAGGCUCAACCUCGGGUCUGCAGUCGAUACGAGCAAACUAGAGUGUUGCAGGGGAGACUGGAAUUCCUGGUGUAGCGGUGAAAUGCGCAGAUAUCAGGAGGAACACCGGUGGCGAAGGCGGGUCUCUGGGCCGAUACUGACGUGGAGGAGCGAAAGCGUGGGGAGCAAACAGG